rnacentral:rRNA from 1 species
GAAUCAGUAGAAGAUGAUGAACUGAAUUU